rnacentral:rRNA from 1 species
UACGGAGGGUGCAAGCGUUAUCCGGAUUCACUGGGUUUAAAGGGUGCGUAGGUGGUUUUGUAAGUCAGUGGUGAAAGCCCGGAGCUCAACUCCGGAACUGCCAUUGAUACUGCUUAACUUGAAUCAACUUGAGGUGGAUGGAAUAUUACAUGUAGCGGUGAAAUGCUUAGAUAUGUAAUAGAACACCGAUUGCGAAGGCAGUUCACUAAGGUUGUAUUGACACUGAGGCACGAAAGCGUGGGGAUCAAACAGG